rnacentral:rRNA from 1 species
UACGUAGGGGGCUAGCGUUGUCCGGAAUCAUUGGGCGUAAAGAGCUUGUAGGCGGUCUGUCGCGUCUGCUGUGAAAAUCCGGGGCUCAACCCCGGACUUGCAGUGGGUACGGGCAGACUAGAGUGUGGUAGGGGAGACUGGAAUUCCUGGUGUAGCGGUGAAAUGCGCAGAUAUCAGGAGGAACACCGAUGGCGAAGGCAGGUCUCUGGGCCACUACUGACGCUGAGAAGCGAAAGCAUGGGGAGCGAACAGG